CGGGCGGUAUCGGUGUCCGAUCGUCGCAUUUUCAGACUACCUCCAGGGCGACUUUAUUCAAAUAUUAGGUCUCUGCCAAGAGUUUGAGUGGAAACUAUGUAAAAGAGGGUGGUCUUCUCGGAUGAUCUAAUAUCUGCAAGCGUCUGCAGAAAAUUUCGGCGUCUGGCUUUUGAAAAUAUUUCGAGAGCAAUCUCUCUAUGUUUUCAUCGGGCGUGUGUAACUUCCUCUCGGCCACCGCUUCAGCCACCGGUUCUGCCAGUCGCGCAAACGUAACCAUCAAUCUUUCCGUCGGACUUGAAGCGUAAUUGCGCCGGUGUAUCCGCGGCAAUAUAUUUUUUGGCAGUGGGAGUGUUCGCGUUCCCGAGGUUUUAUCAUGCAGAGAUUGCUGGUCCAGACAUUUUCCGCAGCCGCGCUAUUUUUACGCCGAUAGGUUUUCCCGAUAUGCGGUUCUCGUUGCGAUCCUCGGCGCAACGCGAUCCAAUACGCCUGGUUCCUCUUAGAUCGCGUGAUUUAUCCGCCGACCGACCGACCGACGGAUUAAUCGCCGCCGUUACAUUCUGCUAAUGAGAUACCGGGUUUGACGGAUCGUGUGUCAUAUCCGCCGCUUGCCAAAACGCCCCGACCGAUUUCCAAGAUUGCGGUACUAUUCCGAAGCCACCAAUAUUGCUCUCAAUAGCAGAAGUAUGCGGACUGCUGUAACUCUUUGUAAAUGAACUACUUGACAUACAAAGACGUCAUCUAUUUCUAACGUAUAGGUGUACACAGUGGGGUUAAGCACUAUUUACCAUUAUCAGCGAACGUCCAUUCUACGAAGAUUCUUUCGCAAGCUUACGGAAAUUCACGUUUACGUGAAAUUGUGUCAGGCCAAAUCGAAUUGCGUUCGAUUCGUAUGUCAAGGGGUUGAUACUGUUGAAGGAUGUUCUUUGAAGGAGAGAAGCUUCCACGAUGAACGUGAGAAAGGGGUUUGUUUGUCGUUGUUCUUGGAAUGUUGUCUGCGGUGCUGCGGAUAUUGAACAAAGGGACGGAAAUAGAGGCUCGAUGGAGGAACAAGCGUUCAGAGGACCGAGAGACAUCUCUAUUUUCGAACGACUGUCGCGAUUGCAUCCGAGGAACGAGUACUAUGCUUUAUUAACGGCAGAACUGCCGAAGCUGUUGCAGCCGACGUUCUUUCAAUUUCGCAAAAAAAGAUUAAAAUAAUUUUGAAACAUCGGAAAUAGUUCAAGGAAUAUUCGCCAAGGAAUAUUCGUGGAUCUCAGGGGAAGGAAAAACAAACCAGAUUGCCUGACAGACGAUGCUAGAACAAAUUAAGAUGACAGCACGCCGCCGGAGGAACCGUUUUCUCAAGAAAUCGGAACGUCUGUCAAAUAUCUCUAUUUCUCGAUUGUGUAAACAUUUAGAGAGAUAGGGAGAGAGAGAGAAAGAGAGAGAGAGAGAGAAAGAGAGAGAGAGAUUCAAAUAUUGUUUUACUGCUGGCGGAUACUUUGUUAGGAAAAUCCCAUCAUCGAAGACGGGAGGGCAUUCGCAGACAGAGGGAUUUUUUACAAAAAAUAUUUAUACUUGUCUGCAAGGGUAAACUUCACCGAAGAAGCUGAAGAAGCUGAAGAAGUGGCUGGAAAAUAUUUGGAGGAUGUGUUUGCAAGAAGAAGAAACUAGAAGGAUUUAUCACGAAUAGUCUGCCUAUAGUAUUCCUAGAGAGAAGUUUCUGUACUAUAAAAUGGAAUAAUUUGUUAAAAAGUGGAGCAAACGAUUAGAAGGAUUAGUUUACUAGAAUAUUCGUAAAAUAAUGCGAUACGCGUUUUAUAAAUUCUCAAAUCCAGAUGAAAAAUGUAGAAAGCAUUUUUUAUUAAUAACUUCAACAUAUGGCAAUUGUCUUAAGAUUUUGUCAACGUGAUUCUUCUAAUACUUCAGGAAGGCUGAAAUCGUUUGGGCCAAUAUUAAAAAAAAACGUGGACGCAGGCAACAUGGGAAAACGAAAGAAAAAGAGACCGAUCAAGGAAGAUGUGAACUUGCCACGAUAAAACAUUGGUCCCCGGUAAAGGGUGCAGCCUAUGGGGUAUAGUAGGAAAAGUAGAAGUAGAAACGCGGAUCGAGUAUGUAGGUUGCAGAUGGAUUGGCUUACCGGGGCGUCCCAGUCAUUAACGAACUGUGGUUGGCGAAGGCACCCCCAUAGUAAUAGGGCAACCCAUCCCCGUAGUACGGCAUCGCGGGAAUCCAAAGAGUGCGUGUGCGUGUUCACGUGCGAGAUAAAAGAUCGCGGGUGAUCGAGCACCGGGUGAAAAUGCGGUGGCAGCUGUUCCACGCCACUAUCUCGAGACGACUGAGAGACACAGCACGUCGGAGGGAAUCGCGGAAUCGCAGACUCGCGUUCCCUCAGGUGUUCGCGGAGACGUUCUCGCGGUUCAGCCAGCCAACACCGACUGAGUCGAAGCCAGCGACCCAGUGUAAUAAUAGAAGUCUAGUGUGCGAGACUUUUCCUAGCGCCUAACUAUACUAGCUGGACUCUAAUAACCCGUACAGUCUCUGCGAAACGAAUAUUUCACAGAUUUCUCCCUCUCUGCACUGUUCUCCAAAGAGGUUCUCCGCAAGCUUUUGAAUCCACAGAAUAGGGCGAUUCCGCUAAGACAAUCUUGAAGAACUUUAGCUUCGCCAGCUCUCCAGCUUGACAAUGUUACCCCUUGCCUCAGGACAUCUUUUCGAGAUGCAAUAGCUGCCGAAAGCAGAGGCGAUGGAGACUGCAGAAUAUCGAUGCGCAAAAAUAUGCACAGAGCCGUGUAUUGUUUUUGUUUAGAGAAGUGGAAGGGAGCCGUUAUUAGAGCAGUCCAGGAAUUCCUUUGUCGAUCGCCGUUUAAUUAGGGAACGGUUUUUCACAUGCAGUAAGCGGUUCACGACAAACGUAAGCAAGUUGCAACGAAUGCCAGAAACGUUCCACGCGAAUUUUCGGCGAGGGUUCAGCGAGGGAGUGUUAUGCGAAUAUUUAUGCGAGGAACAACACACACAUACAUGCGCGCGCGCGCGCGCAUAUACACAUGCAAAUGGGAAACGCGCAAGCAUAGAGAGACAAGCGGUGACGGAUCGCGGACGCGGUUUUCGUGGAUUGUUUCUCGAGGAACGAGCCAAAAAGUCGUUCUCUCUUUGACGCCCAUUGUUGAUCAAGCUCGGGGAAACUUUGAAAUAGCCAGCGCGACGAACGACGAUUGCUAUUCUCGGUUCUACGGACAAUUUAAUAUAGAAAUGGACAGGUGACUGGUCGGGACCGAAACGCAAGAUCCAGACACGUCGCUGACAGUAUAUUCCUAUCCGUACUGGCGUUAUACUUGUAUAAAAUCAUCGCAGCACCGUGCGAUAUUUCAACAAUCCAUUCGAGCAAAAUUAGCUGGGCUUUCCCGGUUACAAAAUUAUUUAACAUUCGUGAUGCAUCGACUCGCAGCUAUUUUAGCUUCGAUUACAAAAAUAUAUUACCAUCGUAUGAAAUAGCAAAGAAUUUUGCAAAUGUAUCUGCUUCGUAGAACAACGUUUUCAAUGAUCUUUAUUCUCUUAGAUCGAUAGAGUAUCGCACCGUGCGAUGGUUCCGAGGCUCGUGAAGGUAACCGGUAAGGGCUGCCGAGGACACUUCUGUAUUGGCUACUUACCAUCGCACCUGAGCCCUUGCCGGAACAGGCCGUACAACAAGGAUCCGCAGUGGUCGCAAAAUGUUGGCGACAUGAAAGUGUGGGUGCGAAACCUGUGAGGCACAUCUACCUUGAAACGCUCCCUCAAGUACUGCCAUUGAACAAGUAUCAACAGAAUUAGAACGUUUCCGCCUGAGCAGAUCGUAUAAAUAGGAAGGAUGAUGAUCCAUCGGACUCAUACGUCUCGAACAGUUUUGUACCUUGAACCGAGAGAUAACGGGGGCGACCUGAUCGAAGAUCCAUCCAGUGUCAACAGUUAAAUGUUUAAUUAUUCUGUCCAAUCUUCGACCAGGUUGCAGAAUAUUCGAUAUAGGAACCUGACAGUUUUCGAUGGAAAAAUUCCACAAGCGUGUGUGGUAUUGAGGAUCAUUGAAAAUCGAGCGUGAAAAUAGAAGGCAGUUUCGUAAAUCAAGCUAGGAUCUAGGUGGAUGCACGGAGCUGCAUCGCCGAGCAAACAAACAAUCGUGUUUCCGUUUAGAGAAGAUUGACUGCGUUCGAGGAAAACGCUGCUCGAUUUUCGACGAGCCCCGAUGAUGGAAUGGAACAGUCUUGGCCGUGUCUUUCUGGAUGCUGCUCCCUCUUCGAGAACUUCCUCGUGAAUCUCUGGCCAGUGAAAGACACUUACUAUCGUGUUUUCCGAUUCCCUCCCGCUCUCUGGACACUUGGUCAACAGUUUGUCGUGGCACUUCUUGUGCACCGCCGUCUGGCAGGCUGAAACACGCAUAAAAAUCAUCCUUAGUUGGAAGACAAACGUUGGAAGACAAGUACUUCUUCGGUUAAGGUAUAAGAUUUUGUUCUUUGCUCUCUCAUCGACAUUAUUUCCAGGGACAUGCAGCACCUCGGAGAAGUCGCAGGAAUAUUUGGAGAACGCUCUUAAGAAACUACAGAGAAGGAUCAUGCAACACCCUGGGAUGGGCAGAACUAUCCUGAUGAUCAAGGAUGUCGAACAGGCUCGAAUAAUAGACUGGAUCAAGGAUCCCUUCCGAUGCAUCUGUAUAAAACCACAGCGUUCCGCAGCCGCUAUUUUAUGAUAAAUGGAGAGAUCCGCUCCGUGUUGUUAGCAGCCAACUACGCGUUAGAACUAGGCCCGAGUACUUUGAUGAACGUCUGUUUACUUCAGGAAUUCGUUUGCUAACACACCGCUGUAGAUAUUCGACAAAUAGUCGCCUCGUCGGCUACCUAUCGAAUACCUGCCAUUGAUCCAGAAGCAAACGUCCGAUCAUGGUUGAAAAGCAGUGAACAGUUACCAGAGAAAGUCUUUGCAGAAGGCGCAGAAGGUCGGCUGCCUGAAGAACUUGGCAACCAAUUUAUGGCCCCUAACAACAUGCACCUUAUUCUGCUUCACCGCUCCUCUUCUCCUGGUGAUAGCACCGCCAACCUUCUCAUGGAUCCCCUGUUCAACUGCAACCGCCGCAGCAACGUCCCUUCUAGGGACCCUGGUCUUGUACACGUAUGUCUUGCCGGUGGACGUCGACGGAGGCAAAUCAGCCGGGUUUAAAAUUGGAACUCGAGUCCUGAAAUAUUAAUUUCGAUCAGGAAUCAAGGAUAGUCUGAUUGAUUAAUUGUAGAUGCGGUCGUACAGUAGAGUUGGGCAUUCAGUGGACAAAAUGUUUACUCGAAUAAGUAUACUACAAUGUAUAGUGAUUUUCUAUACUCUAUUCGACUAUGUUAAGAGCUUUCAGGAUAUUACAUCCGAAUGUUACAAAUCAAAUUUGCCCAACUCUGGUAUACCGUUUUCAACGACUACGUACCGGCCGGCUCACCUGUAAAUGUAGCCUUCCGCAGGCGCGCGGGUCUGCGGACUCUUACGGUCUGCCGAUGACUUCCGAUCCGCUGAGGACUUCCGGUUCGAGGACGCGCUGCCACCGGUAUUCCAUCUCUUGGCGUGGGAGCCUCCGGUGAACAUCAUCUUGAAGGAUUCAAGGUCCCUAAACUAGAAGGUCUGCAUCUCGGGAGCGUUUUCUGUUGGUCGCCCAGAAGCAUUCUUCAGGAAUCAACGAUCACGCGGUUGUACCGUUAGAUAGAGGAUAAACAAGAUAAUGAUUGAUAUUCGUUUGCAAGUACUGCUAUUGGCAAUGAUAGACAACCAUCAACAUCGACUAGGCAGCGCUGGCAAGCAGCCUCCGCGGAGAUUCGAACAGAAGGCCUCUGUUCCAAUCCUUGAGGACAAUCUAAAAAAAGGGUGACUAAUGCGCGGGGGAAGAAACGAUGCGUCGAAGAAGUGCCUCUAGAACGUGGUAGAUGGAACCGGGUUUUCCUCCGUUUUCGGACUCCGUUCUCGUUCGGGCGAUUCAUUGUCUCUCGCGACCAUAAGCAGUACCAGCGAUGUUCAAAACGUCAGCUACACGUCUCCGCUGGUCGCACGUCCGUCGAUCGAUGCACACCGAUUGAUCCGUAUGCGUUUUUCGCAGGGCUUCCGGUGAACAGGACACGAUGAUACAGAGAGUCUCGGUCACCACGGCGGUCCGAAGUCCAUGGAUCAUCGAUACGGUGCUGUCGAGAACACAGGAACUGAAUUUUGACGCCUAAAACGUUGUAGGUUUGCGCGAAACUCUCGAAUCUAUAAAUAUCAGCCUGUUGAAUGCCGCCCGCCAUCAGGCCUCCUAGCGCCGCACGCGGAAAAUAUUCUAGAUCCCGAUGAUCAUUCGAGUGUUCCAGCCUGGAACAGUCCCCCGAUACCUUAUUCUCACACUCUUAUCGUCGUUCGAAUCCAACAUCUUAAUAAUAAUAUUUACAGCUUUACGCUAUUCCCAAUGUAGCAUCGAGCUCGACAAUGUUCCUCUAUCGUUGCGUUUCUGUCCGUCUCCUCCGGUAUUCGGUGUGCGACGAACUGCGAGACGAUAUGGAACCCUUUGAUCGACGAGGACACUAACGUGAACAAUUCCCUUUACGUCUCGCUGGUUUUUCUGAGUUGAAGGAGGAAAUUGGAAUGCAGGCGUCGACUUUUUAUGCAAACGUUUGUAUUUAGUUAAUGUAAUUAACGAUGUGUACAGUGAAUUUUGUUUCUGUAUGCAGCAAAUACAGAGAAACGUAGUUACUCGUGGAUCGUAUCGGUGAUUAGCGCGUUAAGUAAUUCCCAUAGUUCGUUACCGGCGCGUCACGCAAAACAAUCAUGACGAUAACGCUCUCGGCCUGGUAUACUCGUUACCUGGCCGAAACAUGAUUGAUAAAUAUAUUGCUAAGCAAAAUGUUAGAGAGGAGCCGCCUUGAACACAGCCAUACAACUUCACACGGUCUUGCCUGGCGCUAUUUACAAAUUAAAGUACAAUUAGUUACAGGGAUUCGACACUCGUACACGCGUCGAUGUUUCCUCGCUUUUUUUUGUGCUCGCAAGAAUGUUGAAGAUUCGCGGCGUAUAUAUAUGUAUAUGUUUGUGUACGUGUGUAUGCGAUGUGCAACAAAAUCGUUUUCUCGGUGAGCGUGUGCGAUUUUUUCGUAAUGUCUUGAUUGCUCACGGCAGAACUACGCGUCUAAAUAAAGAUGAACUUAAGACGGUA